GCCGGUUUCCUCCCCUCUCCUCUCUCCUAAAUCAUCUUUCUUGCUAUUGGUGUUUGUAAGCCAUUAGAGGAGUGACAAUUGUGACUCUAGAAGCUCCAAGACAACAAGGUCAACAAGGAAUUCAAAGGUAUGGUUCUAGAUCUGUUUCAAUGUUGUUAUUUAACCUAAUUAGCCAUUAGAAGUCUUGGAUUCAAAGCAUGUUUAAUUAGAAAGCCUAGAUCCAAGCAUUAGGGUUUUGCAUGCGCACAUAGGAAAGUUCUUAUGGCUAAAACCCAUCAGUGGUAUCAGAGCCUAGCUUGGUUUUCUUUAAAUUGUUGCUUGAUUAACUGAAACAAACCUGCAAAAUUCGAUUUUUUGGUUUCUGAGUCAUGGACUCGGCGAGUUCCAAAGUGGACUCGGCGAGUAGGCCUGACUCGGCGAGUCCAUUUGUGCACUCGGCGAGUCCAGGCGUCAGGAAUGGCCAGAUUCGGGAUUUUUUCAUAAUUAUCUUAUGGAAACUUACCUUAAUCAUAAUAGAUCAACCCAAAUCCGAUUUUUUGAUAUAUAUGACUAUUAUCUUGAUCUAGUUAAAGGUAUUUAUCAACUAAUAAAAUAUUUAAUUUCCUUAUAUGAUAAUUAAUUAAUUAUUUUAAUUAUUUUGGUAAUUAUCUUUCAAAGAAAUCUUGAAUAAAAUCAAAUAUAGAUAAUUAGGAUAUUAAUUGUUAAUUGGAAUUAUUUGUUAUUUGAUCCUCCAUGUUUUAAAUGUUUAAAACUUGCCCUCAAGUUUUGAAAUUUAUAUUUUGUGAUUAAAAGUUUUAAUUUAGACAAUUUAAAUUUCAAACCCUAGAUUUUAAAAGGUUUAAAAUACAACCCUAUACUAAUAUGAUAUUACUAGAAUAAUAUAUAUAUGUAUAACUAAAUGCUAGUCUUACCGUUAGUAGGCCUCAUUCACGAAGCCGAUCUAUAAGGUGGGUAUAAGGUUGCGGCCUAUAAAAUGGCGCUUAAUGGGUGUACACUCACACCCACCGCUUGCUUGAUUGGUGGAGGGUCGUUAGCCGAACGGGUAGGAUAGGGCAACCUCAUCCUCUCAUUAAAAGUAUAAUAAGAAAUACAAAGUAACUACACAUAUUUUAAAAUUUCCCAAUCUUAGUUACUUUAGGAAAAGUGAAUUGAUGCAAUCCCAUGAAAUUACACUUUGCACCUUGCUAAGAUGUUAGUGGAGCGUGUGUGGUUUACCGGCACACUAAUUGGUUCUAAGCGAAGGUGGCAAAGGGUGAUUCAUUGUUUAUCAUAGUUCGAUGGAGCGUGUGUGGUUUACCGGCACAUCGAAUAGGUGAUCGUUACAAUGAAGGCACCAUGUGAAUUUGCAUGGUAAUUCACACCCGCUUUGUGAUCCUCGGCAUCCCAGUCACAAACAAGAGGGGCAUAUCGAGAUUUAAACAUGCCAUUGAAUAGUUUCAAUGAAUCUCAUCCGAACCUAGGAAUUCUCAAAAACACUUAGGACUAAUAGUUUAAGUUUUGUGAUGGAGAAUUAGUGAAUCGUCAUUCACUUACCUUCAAUUUAUUUGCAUGUUAGAUUACGGCAUCCCUUUUCUAGUAUGUAAAUGUUAUUGUUGGAUCCUAGCCCUAAUUUUCUUAUUGGGUGAUAAUUAGGGAUUCUUAUUCUAAUCUAUCUUUGUCCUUUUCUAAUUGUAGAUGUCGAACGCAAACAACGCUGCUGCUAGUUCUUUCACGUUGAUGAGCCUUUGCCAAAAGGUCACCUUCGAUGGAACGAACUUUAGCGAAUGGAUAAGAUACAUUCGCACCAUUGCUCGCUAUGAGGAUAAGGAGUAUGUCCUCGAUGAGAAGCUCGAGAAAAUCAACCCCGAAAUCGCUACUCCGGCCGAAAUCACCGCUUUUGAGACUCAUGAGCGAGAUGCAACGAAGGUACAUUGCAUCAUGAUUGCCACCAUGAACUCCGAAUUCCAAAAGUCCUACGAGGACAUGUACCCGUACGAGAUGCACCAAGACUUAUUGGAGAGGUACCACCAAAACGCGAGACAAGAGAGGUACGAGAUUUUCACUAACAUGAUUUCCGCGAAGAUGGGUCAUGGAGAAUCUCUUACCGUGCACUUGCAAAAGAUGCAAAGGUAUGUCGACCGCCUUCGCAAGUUAAAUGUUGACUUCGGUGAGGAUUUGGCGAUCGACAUGGUGCUUCACUCUUUGCCUCCGAUGUACAAUCAAUUUAGGAUGACCUACCACAUGAACAAAGAAGAGGUCACCCUAAGCAAGCUCCAAGGUCUCUUGAGGGUUGCUGAGAGCAACUUCAAAGACAAGUCUGUUGCACCUACUCCCAAUCCGCCCGCUGCUCCUGUCUUGGCUAUUGGACAAGGGAAGGGAAAGAAGAGGAAAGCUUCAUCGAAGAACUAUCGCAAGGUGAAAGCCCGAGAUGGUGCCUCUUCUAGUGGGACCAAAGUUGAUCCCGCUAAGCCCUGCUCUAACCCGAAGGAGGCAGAGUGCCACCACUGCCACAAGAUAGGACAUUGGAAGAGAAGCUGCCCGGAUUACCUGCAAGCAAUCAAAGAAGGAAAGAUCAAGCCAUCUUUCGCAGGUAUAUAUACAAUCAAAUCUAACGAUUCUAAUCAUGCUAUUUCUUGGGUUCUUGAUACCGGUUGUGGUUAUCACAUUUGUUCUAAUGUGCAGGGACUAAGAAGAAGUAGGGAUGUGGAGCAAGGAAGGAUCAAUCUAAUCAUGGGGAACAGAAGAUCGUCGCCUGUGACCAAGAUUGGAGUGUAUUCCUUAGUGCUUAGGAAUAGUUUAGUUUUAGAUUUGAACAAUUGUUGCUAUUCGCCAGAAAUGGCAAGAAACAUCAUUUCAUUUCAUGGUUUAUAUAGACAAGGAUUUAGAUUUUCUUUUAAUAAUGAGAAUGGUUCUAUUUUGGCUUAUCUAAAUGGUGUCUUUUACUUUGAAGCUAUACCAUGUAAUGGAAUAUAUGAAACCGUUAUGAUUGUUGAUAACUUAGGAAAUGAUGUUUUGAAUAUUGAUUCUUCCACUAGUAUGGAUAAAGCAUCCUUGUGGCAUUGUCGUCUUGGACAUGUCAACAAGAAACGCAUAGCCCAACUCCAAAAGGAUGGAGUGUUGGAGUCAUUCGACCUUAGGGAAGAUGACACAUGCGAGUCUUGUUUGCUUGGAAAGAUGACUAAGUCACCCUUCACGAGUACAUGUGAAAGGGGCGAGGGUCUAUUGGACCUAAUACAUACCGAUGUAUGUGGACCGUUUAGAUCAACCACGAAGGAUGGGAACCGCUUCUAUGUGACUUUUACCGAUGACUAUAGUAGAUAUGGGUAUAUCUACUUAAUCAAGCAAAAGUCAGACACCUUUGAAAAGUUCAAAGAGUUCAAGAAUGAAGUGGAGAAUCAAUUGGGCAGGAAAAUCAAGAUGCUUCGAUCCGAUCGAGGAGGAGAGUACCUAAGUCUUGAAUUCCACGAUUAUCUCAAGGAGUGUGGAAUAGUUUCACAAUUGACGCCUCCUAGGACACCGCAGUUGAAUGGUGUGGCAGAAAGGCGUAAUCGAACCUUAUUGGAUAUGGUUCGCUCUAUGAUGAGUCGUGCUUCACUACCAAUCUCUUUUUGGGGGUAUGCCUUAGAGACUGCCGCCCAUAUCCUUAACCGAGUCCCUACUAAGAAGGUUGCCAAAACACCUCACGAGAUGUGGACAGGGAAAGCUCCCUCGUUGGCACAUAUCAAGGUUUGGGGUUGCGAGGCUUUCGUAAGACGAGAUACUCACGACAAGCUUGAACCUCGAAGUGAGCGAUGUAUUUUCAUCGGCUACCCGCAGACAUCCUUUGGAUAUCUCUUCUAUAGACCGAAGGACAAUGUUGUCUUCGUUGCGAGGAGAGGAGUUUUCCGAGAGCGAGAACUCAUAAGCCAAGGAGACAGUGGGAGGCAAAUCGAACUUGAAGAGAUUCAAGAGUCGAUAGAUGAAGGAACCUCUACCGCUGGCACUCAACCCGAGGAGGAAACUCCGGUUGAACCGAUUGACGAAUCCUUACCUCUUAGACGUUCCGAUAGAGUUAGAGUUCAUCCCCAGUUUUAUGGCUUUCAUAUUACUACCGAAGGGGACACGUAUAUUAGUGAUGGUACACUAGUAAAUCUUGAUGAACCUAAUAGCUAUAAGGAAGCCAUGGCAGGCCCGGAGUCUGCAAAAUGGAAAGAGGCAAUGGAUAGCGAGAUCCAAUCCAUGUAUGAUAACCAAGUUUGGAAUUUGGUUGAUUAUGUGCCCGGACGUAAGACCGUUGGGUGCAAAUGGAUCUUCAAGAAGAAGACCGACGUGGAUGGAAACGUACACACAUAUAAAGCGCGAUUGGUUGCGAAGGGCUUUACUCAAACUCCCGGAGUUGACUAUGAUGAGACCUUCUCACCAGUUGCGAAGAUUAAAUCUAUUAGAGUGAUGCUAGCUAUUGCCGCAUUUCAUGAUUAUGAGAUUUGGCAAAUGGAUGUCAAGACCGCUUUCCUUAACGGAAAGUUGGCUGAGGAUGUUUACAUGGCUCAGCCAGAGGGGUUUGUGGAUCCGAAGCAUCCGGAUAGAGUGUGUAAGCUUGAGAAGUCCAUUUAUGGACUUAAGCAAGCGUCUCGCAGAUGGAAUCUUUGCUUCGAUGAGAAAGUCAAAGAGUUUGGAUUUGUACGAAGCGAAGACGAAUCUUGUGUAUAUGUCAAAGCCAGUGGGAGUAUAGUAAGCUUCCUCGUUCUAUAUGUCGAUGACAUAUUACUCAUAGGAAACGACAUCCCGACUCUGCAGGAGGUUAAGUCCUGGCUCGGGAAGUGCUUCGCUAUGAAGGACCUCGGAGAGGCUUCUUACAUUUUGGGAAUAAGGAUAGUAAGAGAAAGAAGUAAGAGACUAAUUGGACUUAGUCAGAAUACUUACUUAGAGAAGGUACUAAAACGUUUUAGUAUGGAAAACUCAAAGAAGGGAGAACUACCGAUACAAAGUAAUGCCAAAUUGAGUAAGACUCAAAGUCCGAGUACCGAAGCUGAGAUAGCAGAAAUGAGCCGAGUACCAUACGCUUCCGCAGUUGGCUCAAUCAUGUACGCUAUGACUUGUACUCGCCCUGAUGUAGCCUUCGCUUUGAGCAUGGUUAGCAGAUAUCAAGGGAAUCCUGGCAAAGCACAUUGGAUUGCGGUGAAGAAUAUCCUUAAGUACCUUCGGAGGACGAAGGAAUGGUUCUUAGUCCUCGGAGGGAGUGAUGACUUGAAGGUGCGAGGGUAUAGUGACGCCAGUUUUCAGACCGACAGGGACAACUACCGUUCGCAGUCGGGCUGGGUCUUUACCCUAAAUGGAGGAGCAGUGACAUGGAAGAGUUCCAAGCAGGAAACCGUAGCUGAUUCAACGUGCGAAUCAGAGUACAUUGCAGCGAGCGAAGCGUCGAAGGAGGCAAUAUGGCUAAAGAACUUCAUCGGUGAUCUUGGAGUUGUACCUGCCAUAAAGGAGCCAAUGGAGAUUUUCUGUGAUAACGAAGGCGCGGUUGCCUUAACCAAGGAACCGAGGGAUCAUGGUAGAUCAAGACAUAUCGACAGAAAGUAUCACUUCAUUAGACAUCGUGUAGAAGAAGGACAACUCGUAGUGAAGAGGAUAUCAUCAGAAGAUAACCCAGCAGAUCCGCUUACGAAGGGACUGAGUAGGGUUAAGCACUUGCAGCAUGCUAGGAGUAUUGGGCUGAAGGAUGAUAUUAGCAUAGAUUAGAUAGUAUUAGAAACGUGUAAUAGAUAAAUGUAAUUAACAUUUGAUGAUUAAAUAAAGGAGUUUUAUUUAUGAGUAAUGUUACUAUCUUAUGUUAAUUGUUUAGCUAUUGUUUCACUUUGCAUGUUUUGACUUCCAGAAUAAUUGAGUUUAUUAGGAAUAAUCGAAUUGUUCAAAUGGUCCACAAUCGUUCAUAUGUUGGGAGUAGAUAUGAAUGAAGAUUGUCAUGAAUUGGUGUGUAGAAUGUCUAAAUGGUGUUAGACAUAGCAAAGGAUUGCUGCAACGUUCAUGAGUGCUUAUGAACUAGUUUUGAGCAUUGGAAUAAACCCGCGCUUGCUGGAAUCACCUUAUGGAAUACGAUAUAAAAGGUGAUCGCAAGACGAUAAUAUCAUAUAGUCUUAAAACCUAGAUAUAUGGUUUAUUAUUUGUUAAUUGAUUGUACAUUGAUAAUACGAAAACGCAUCAGUAACUUGGUGUUAUAAAACGUAUUGUUGUGUAUAGUUGGUAAAUGAAUAAGUAAAUGCAUAUAAGUCGAAGUUUAUCUGUAACUUUUAUCUAAGAAGGUAAAAGCGAUAUCUCGGCCGCUCGAUGAUUUGAUUUGACUUAUGUGCCGGGCCCGGUCAGAACUGAAUUGAUGUGUUCGAUUAAGUUCUAUGUCAAAUAAAUCAGAGAUCGAGAAACCUAAAUGCUUGACUAACCAUUCCAUAGGAUUGUCAGCAUGAUAUCUAACAGAGGACUGUACGUUCCCUUAUCUAAAGGACAAGAUUGAUUAGAUCAGAGUUGACAGCGUCUUUGAGAGCUACGAUUGCAAACCGAAUUGUACUUGUAUAGUUACUAGACUUAUCCAAGUGGGAGACUGUUGGAAUAGUGUCUAAGGCUGUAACUAUAUUAGGCAAGUAUUUGAUCCGGUUGUGCAUGGUCCUUUUGGGUUGCCUUCACCAUAGCAACUUGAUAGGAUGAUUUAAUAAGAGAGAGUAAAUAUUAUUACUAUAUUAUGAGAAUAAUAUAAAGAAUAAUAUAUUGUUAUUUGCUUAAUAUAAGUCAUAGAAUUAACUGGAAUUAAUUUGGUGACUUAAAAAGAUUAAUUAAAUAAAGGGGUAUAAACUGUCAAUUGUUUGAUAGUUAAGCUUUAGACUGUAAAUCCAUAUAGAUAUACAAGGGACGGAUUCUAGAAGCUAGGAUAGCUUCAAAAAUCGUCCAAGGGGUUAUCUAUGGAAUGGAUUUGGAUAGCCUUAAGAGAAGAUUAUCCAGUUAGGGUUUAGGUUGUAACCCUUAAGGAGUCUACAAGUAUAAAUAGACCACAUAGGCAAGGGAAAUCGGCACCUCACCUAAAGUAAGAGAACCCUGGCCGGUUUCCUCCCCUCUCCUCUCUCCUAAAUCAUCUUUCUUUCUAUUGGUGUUUGUAAGCCAUUAGAGGAGUGACAAUUGUGACUCUAGAAGCUCCAAGACAACAAGGUCAACAAGGAACUCAAAGGUAUGGUUCUAGAUCUGUUUCAAUGUUGUUAUUUAACCGAAUUAGCCAUUAGAAGUCUUGGAUUCAAAGCAUGUUUGAUAAGAAAGCCUAGAUCCAAGCAUUAGGGUUUUGCAUGCGCACAUAGGAAAGUUCUUAUGGCUAAAACCCAUCAGUAUUGGGUUUUGUUGGGAAUUUCACACAAAGGUU
rnacentral:lncRNA from 1 species